rnacentral:snoRNA from 1 species
GUUGAGUUCUAUCCUGAUCAACCUUUUCUGCAGACCCAUAUCAUUGGAGAUGACCUUGUUGUUUGCUUUACUCACAGAACAAUUUGUUAGGUCUGUGGAAAGAACUGUAAGAGAGAG